rnacentral:rRNA from 1 species
AUUGAACGCCGGCGGCAGGCCUAACACAUGCAAGUCGAGCGGAUGAAGGGAGCUUACUCCUGGAUUCAGCGGCGGACGGGUGAGUAAUGCCUAGGAAUCUGCCUGGUAGUGGGGGAUAACGUCCGGAAACGGGCGCUAAUACCGCAUACGUCCUGAGGGAGAAAGUGGGGGAUCUUCGGACCUCACGCUAUCAGAUGAGCCUAGGUCGGAUUAGCUAGUUGGUGGGGUAAAGGCCUACCAAGGCGACGAUCCGUAACUGGUCUGAGAGGAUGAUCAGUCACACUGGAACUGAGACACGGUCCAGACUCCUACGGGAGGCAGCAGUGGGGAAUAUUGGACAAUGGGCGAAAGCCUGAUCCAGCCAUGCCGCGUGUGUGAAGAAGGUCUUCGGAUUGUAAAGCACUUUAAGUUGGGAGGAAGGGCAGUAAGUUAAUACCUUGCUGUUUUGACGUUACCAACAGAAUAAGCACCGGCUAACUUCGUG